rnacentral:rRNA from 1 species
GACGAACCGUGCGAACGUUGUUCGGAUUCACUGGGCUUAAAGGGCGCGUAGGCGGCGGCUCAAGUCGGGGGUGAAAUCCUCUCGCUUAACGAGAGAAUUGCUUUCGAUACUGGGUCGCUGGAGGGAGAUAGGGGUGCGCGGAACUUCCGGUGGAGCGGUGAAAUGCGUAGAUAUCGGAAGGAACGCCGGUGGCGAAGGCGGGUCUCUGGACAGUUCCUGACGCUGAGGCACGAAGGCCAGGGGAGCAAACGGG